AACGAACGCUGGCGGCAUGCCUAACACAUGCAAGUCGAACGAGAACUUCGGGUCUAGUGGCGCAGGUGUGCGUACCGAGUGGUAACCAGCACGUAGGUUACGAAUAACUCACUGUAAGGGGUGCUAAUAACGGUUAAUGUAAUCGGGCAUAAGAUUUAUCGCCUUUGGGUGGGCCCGGGUUGGUUUCGCCAGUUGGUAGGGUAAAAGCCGACCAAGGCGACGAUGCUUGGCUGGUCUGAGACGCUGAUCAGCAACACUGGGACUGAGACACGGCCUAGACUCCGACGCGAGGCUGCAGAGGAGUAUAUUGUACGAGGGGCGAUAGCCUGAUCCAGCAGUGCCGCGUGAGUCAUGAAGCCCUUAGGGUUGCACAGCUCUUUUACCCGGGAUGAUAAUGACAGUACCGGGAGAAGAAGCACCGGCUAACUCCGUG
rnacentral:rRNA from 1 species